CAAGGAACAAUCAGUGACAACAAUGCCAAACCGAACCAUCUGCGUCCGCAUCCUUCUUCUGUGCUACAACUGAUUUAAUAUUUUAUAAUUUACUCAAAUGCUGUAGAACAUCAAUCAAUUAAAACUUUAAAAGAUUACACUUUUCUACAAAUUCAAAAUCCAAUAAAUUCCUAACAAAUCCAAACUCAUACGAAACAAUGCAAAAUCUGAAUAGAGUUGAAGAAAAUAAUAUAUAUAAAGUAUAGGAAUAUAAAUGUAUAUUAGUUUUAUAUAUAAAAUGAGCAAUAUAAUAAUAAAGUUAAGAAAAUACA